UACGAAGGGGGCUAGCGUUGCUCGGAAUGACUGGGCGUAAAGGGCGCGUAGGCGGCCACGCACGUCCGUUGUGAAAUCGCCCGGCUCAACUGGGCGGGGUCAGCGGAUACGGUGUGGCUCGAGCAAGCUAGGGGGCAAUGGAAUUCCCGGUGUAGUGGUGGAAUGCGUAGAUAUCGGGAGGAACACCAGUGGCGAAGGCGGUUGCCUGGAGCUUUGCUGACGCUGAGGCGCGAAAGCGUGGGGAGCGAUCCGG
rnacentral:rRNA from 1 species